rnacentral:lncRNA from 1 species
AUGAUUUUUAAAGAUCUAUUUCUAUACAUAACUAAAACAACUUUUAUAACCUGUAAAAUAAGUUUUUUUCCUUCUAGCACCGCAGUUGACCUCAGUGAAAAACCCAGUAUUUCUCUGGAAGAAGACGGGAACAAGGCGAGCGCCUUCUCAAAAUAUCCUGAAAAGCAGGAUCAAUUUCUGAGGAAAAGGGUCGGCGGCAGUACCGUGAACUACUAUAGGCGUUCCUCUCAGAGGAAGGAAUAUGGGGAGACCAGACCAAGUGAGAAGAUUCUGUAAUUAGUCAUAACCAGUGCCAUAAACUGCGACACGUGCGAAUUCACACAUCACGGCACACAGGUAAACAGGAAAAAAUGGGGACAUAGCUAUUUCACUAAGACAUCUCUAGUUAAAGAAGCUUAGAUCAUACUUGAAUCCUCUUCUUUUACAAAUAAGACUAGAAACCCAGAGAGAUGAUUUGACUGAUCCAAGGGCACGUCGCUGUCUGCGGACCAAGCAGGGGCAGCGCCCAGCUGCCAAAUUCAUAGCAACACACAGUUCCUCUUUCAUUUCAUCCCACUGUUCCUAUGCUGGCGUCUCUGGCAGAGACAGCCUCCCGGUGUACACAUUGCUUGGAAGGUACUGCACCUGGGAGACCCCGUCAAGCUGCAGGAAUUAUUACUUCUGGCCACACAGUUCAUUGACCCAUAAACCAACAAAUACAUUCCAACCCUGCUAAUGAUAUUGAGAAAGGAGCUCCUAAAACUUUUCAGACCAUGAAAUGCGUGUCUUACUUGUGACAACGUUAGUGAGAUGAAAGCUGGGCAGAUCCAGGCCAAGCUGAAUUUGCGUUAUCCCAGGGUAAGGUCUCGGGGAGUUUCCUUCAUGUUCAAAGAAGUUGUGGUGCUCAUAUAUUUGGUAUCCACAUAACUUGUACCUUCACACAUCCUAUAUUGAUUUUCACACAUCUCCUUUCCUUGGUGGGUUUCAGGCUUUCACCUGUGACUGGUCUGGGGUGUCAUCGCGGGUUGUCAUAAUGGCCAGCAGGGGGCGACGGCUCGGCACUGCAGAGGCAGAGGCAGGGUGUGCGGGAGGGGCUGGUGUCAGGAUCUGAGCCAAGGGGGAAUCUUCCCUCUCAACUCUUCGUUUUGUUCCCUCCCCACCUUCUCAUUUCUCAAAAGAAACACCUUUCAGGGUGAG